rnacentral:rRNA from 1 species
UACGUAGGUGGCGAGCGUUGUCCGGAUUUACUGGGCGUAAAGGGAGCGUAGGCGGACUUUUAAGUGAGAUGUGAAAUACCCGGGCUCAACUUGGGUGCUGCAUUUCAAACUGGAAGUCUAGAGUGCAAGAGAGGAGAAUGGAAUUCCUAGUGUAGCGGUGAAAUGCGUAGAGAUUAGGAAGAACACCAGUGGCGAAGGCGAUUCUCUGGACUGUAACUGACGCUGAGGCUCGAAAGCGUGGGGAGCAAACAGGAUUAGAUACCCCGGUA